rnacentral:rRNA from 1 species
UACGUAGGGGGCAAGCGUUAUCCGGAUUUAUUGGGUUUAAAGGGUGCGUAGGCGGAACAUUAAGUCAGCGGUAAAAUCGAGGGGCUCAACCCCUUUAAGCCGUUGAAACUGGUGAUCUUGAGUGGGCGAGAAGUAUGCGGAAUGCGCAGUGUAGCGGUGAAAUGCUUAGAUAUUGCGCAGAACUCCGAUUGCGAAGGCAGCAUACCGGCGGCGAUCUGACGCUGAGGCACGAAAGCGUGGGUAUCGAACAGG